UCUAUAUCUUGUCGGCCACAUUUAUAAUUAUUUUGUCGGUCAUUAUAUUAUUUUAUUUUUGUUUGGUUGUUAUCUGAUCCAUUAUAUAAGGAUCAUUUGAGUUUAGGAAGGGGAGGAAUGAGCCAACACUCGGAAUAUCUCUCUAAGCCUUCUCCAUCCUUGUAAAAAUCCCCUUUAUAAUUUUGUAGUAUUUUGAAUUCAUGAAUAAAAAUCAAAAAGUUCACUUGGCCACAAACAGCCGGUCUCUGGUACUAUUCUACCAUCUUUCUUUAUUUACAAUAUUUGAAGUACCUUUAGCCUAAAUGAUAGGCUAAAUAGGUAAGUAAUAAGCUUAAUAUGCAAAGGUUAUUUACAAAGCAUGCUUUGUUGCCCAAAAUGAACUGUAUCACCCUGAAAGUGUUAGGUUAAGAACUAUAUAGAACAUGCAGUUACUAACCUCAACAGUAAAACUUGGUUAGGAUAUCCUAACCGGUGGUGCUCGUAAACUCGUUUAGGCAGGUGGCCAUGUUGAAGAGUUGUGAGGAGCAUAUAUAGUUUAUAUAGUAUGUAUAGUUUAUAUAGUAUGCAUAUAUGUAGUAUAUUUAGUUUAUAUAGUAUGUAUAGUUUAUAUAGUAUAUAUAGUUUGUAUAGUAUGUAUAUAUGUAAUAUAUAUAGGUUACAUAGUAUGUAUAGUUUAUAUAGUAUAUAUAGUUUAUAUAGUAUGUAUAUGUGUAGUAUAUAUAGUUUAUAUAGUAUGUAUAGUUUAUAUAGUAUAUAUAGUUUAUAUAGUAUGUAUAUAUGUAGUAUAUAUA
rnacentral:lncRNA from 1 species